rnacentral:lncRNA from 1 species
AUUGGCUAUCCCUCACAAUUUUUUUAAGUUUAGUCUGAAUUUAGUUGUGCGUGUUUCUUGUUGUGUUACUGCAUGAUGAUCCUGAUUUUGCUUUUGAAUUAUUAUUAUUUUACAAAAAAAUGCGUACAAAUUAAUAUUAUUCAAAGCAAAAUUACAGAAAAAAGAGCAGUAAAUUUGAAAUAUAUUUUAUGUGCAAAAAAUAUGUUAUAUUCAUAAUAUUGUUGUAUACAAAUUAACGCAUAUUGUAUAACUAUAUGUAUACUUUGCAUAUACAUACAUAUGCAUAUAUAUAUACUGUAAGUGAAAUAGCAAAAUAAGUGCAAUUCGAAGUGAUGCAAUGGAAAUAUAUGAAAAUAUCAAUGAAAUUGAAUAUGAUGAGUACAAAUGUGUAUUAUAUGCUUUCCAUAAUGCAUUAUGGAAAUGUUUUGCUUCUGUGAUACGCCGAGAAUAAUUUAGAGCGUUACACCACCUCGUCGCCUAUAGGUUUACCUAAACCUACCUCAGUUCAGGAUACCACAUCCAAAUUCGUGAAAAAACAAUAAAAAUUAUGAUAUAAUUAAAAACUAAUACUGCAUAUCAGUUAAAGAACAUUUGGAUUCCACUAUCUGCUAGUUUUUAUGUCGUCCAUUAUACUAAAAGUAUUCGAAAAUAUAAUAGUCGACUUCAUCUUAAACUACGGUUGCCGCAGUGGUGAAGGUGGAAAAAUCUGGAGACGAUACUGUCGUCUAAGUAUAAAAUUGGAUGUGAGCAGAGGAAGUCAAGGGAAACGUCGACUUGUAGAGCGGUGACCACUUGAUUGGCAUCACUUGCCGAAAAAUAUAGAAAUAAAGUUACUAUAAAUAGUAACAAACAUAUUAAUGGCUACACACAUAUGUCUACAUAAGGAACAUAUCAUCAAAUUUAUAAAAAUUAUAAAAAGCAAAUCCAACAAGAGGAAAAUUUUAAUAUAUUUAUAAGGAUACUAUUGUGUGAUGGAGUAUAACGAAGAAUUAGAAGUUUAAAAUUCAGUUAAAAUCAAACAUUAAGGAAGUUAAGAGUAAGAAAAGAAUUCUUACAUUUCAAAAAUAUAAAUGUACAUGAUUUUUGGAUCAACAGCUGAAACAACAAGCAUAUACUCCUUUAAACUGUAUCUGCAUAGAUUGAGCCGCAUAUAUAUGUAAAUACUUAAAUACUACUCAGAUACUAAAAAUCUUAUCAACAAAAAAUCAAAAAUCAAGCUCUGUUUUCAUAAUAACUACAAUAAUUCAGAAGAAACAAGAUGCAGGCAGCAUUGAUGCUAAGAUCGAAAUCUCGGGUGGCGAGAAGAAGAAAGCUCCGAAAAUUGGGUGGAAGACUUGAGUUGCCCAGUAAUGUAGCAACAAAAGAAAUUGCUCCAUUCCCUCGAUAUCCACCAGAGUCAUGGCCGAUAUUAAAAGUUAACAACAUUCAACGCUCUAAGGAACCAAAAAAUUAUGUUUUAUUAUGUAUUCAAAAGGAAACGGAAGCAAUGAUCAAGUCAUAAGGAGAAUGUUAAAAAUGAAUUUCUCUUCGGAACGCUUAUGGAAUGUAACAAUUACAAUUGUGUAUUUAGGUAACAUAACCAUCGUCAUACUUACAUAUGUUUAAA